rnacentral:lncRNA from 1 species
AAACUUUGAUUGGCAGUUGCAGCUGCUGUGUGCCCCAUCUGAUUCCCAAGCCUCAUUCUCUCUCAAAAUUCAGGUGUCAGCAAACCCAUUCUUCCCCACACCCCAGCUAACUAUGUGAAUGUGCAGGCAAUUUCACACAGAGGAUAGGACAAACUUCCUAUGAGUGUCCAGGACGUGCAAUCCCUGGUAUAAAAUAAGUUGAAAUCCAGUUGACUCAUCAUUCUAUGAAGGUGUUCUGAGCACCAUGCUGGUCAUUCCACAGAUUGGCAAAUGUGGCUUCUGUGAACUCAUCUCCCCUGGAACUUAGCAGCACAAGCGAU